rnacentral:rRNA from 1 species
GCCAACGGCCAUACCACGUUGAACCACGCAGUUCUCGCCGAUCACUGAAGUUAAGCAACGUCGGGCCCGGUUAGUACUUGGAUGGUGACCGCCUGGGAAUCCUGGGUGGCUGUUGGUA